rnacentral:hammerhead_ribozyme from 1 species
UAGCGAAACCGCCCCGUUGCGGGGCGGUCGUCGGAGCGUGGCGGCUCCGGCCUGACGAGCAGCUGAAA